rnacentral:lncRNA from 1 species
GCUACGAUUGGAUGAUCGAUCAAUUGCAUUUGAUUAUAAAUGAGAAUGAGGUGUUGCCCUCAUCCUGAAUUAGAUUGGAUGGAAGAUUUAAUCGGUGGUUGUGGCAAGGCUGAAUAUACUUUCUAUACAGACUUGGGAGAAUCCAUAAGCUUUUCUCUGAUGUAAGAAUAACCUUUUAUUGGUGGAGUUGGAAGUGAGAUCUACCUUCAUGAGAGCUUGGAUUGGGGUAAAGGAAAGGUCUGCUGUGUGUCCAUAGACAGCAAUGCAGCACAAUACCAACAGCUUUGUACUGCAGCCAUCUUUUCUGGUUGGGGACGGAAUUCUUUUUUACAUGGUAGCACAUACCUCUUUACCUUUUUCUAAUUUUUUCAUCCUCCUGUCUUCUUCUUUUCAUUGCCAUUAUCUGGUGUUGCGUUUGUUUUAUUCUCUUCUUUACUCAUGACCUAGAUGCUUCUCUACUUGACUUUCUCUAGUAGGCAUGAGAGUUUCUUCAGUGAUGUGCUUCCGCUGUGGUGAUGCUCUUGCUUUUAUCUUCUACUUUUGAACUUCAUUCCCUUUUUUCAAAGAUAACACACGGGUGUUAGUGCAGAAGAAAAGAUAGAGAAUCUAUCACUUUAGACCUUAAUUUUCUGUUGUCUUAUGAUCAUUGAUCCAAAGUCCAAGUUCAAUCAUUUUCAGAUCGAUCUUAACAACCUUUACCUUAAGGGUUAGAUUUUAUACUGCAGGGAUUGCCUCCCAUGUGUGUACAAUCAUGUAGCUGCAACAUGCCAUCUAUGUAUAACUAUCUAAAAAAGGAAUGUGCUUGGCAUAUCGACAUGGGAAUGCAAGAUCUUAGGCCUAGUGCUUGUGGAAUUCAAUCUAAUAUUGUGGAAUCCUCUUGGGUUUCUCACCUUCUGUUUCUGGAUUCUCUCUCAUGAUUGCCCCAAAUUUUUACUUUUUGUUCCCCUAUUUAUUUAUGAAUCGCAUUACUUCUUUUUCAUGUCUAGUUCAGGAUACAUUUCAUGACAUAUCCUUUAGGGGGAUCUUAUACUGUUUUCAAGUUUUCAAUUGGCGGGGAUCCUCUUUAUAGAGAUACUUGUACUUGUAUUGUACCUUGCUAUUGUCCCUUUCGGUUCCCUUUUUGACAAUAUUAUCAUUCUAGAGUGACAAAUUUCCCAUGCUGUUAAUCAAAUAGCUCAAAUCAAAGUUUUUGUGGUGAUCUAGAUGUAAUCAAGUUGUUGACUUGAUUGAAUAGUGACCUAUGUGUUGCAUCUUUCUUAUGACAGGAUGCGACGGUAAUGGUGCAACAAGCUGUGCGAUAUGUUGACCAAACACUUGAUCUUGAGACCAAGAUAGAGCUUAUUAAGACACUUAACUCUGUUGCCGGUGGGAAGAUGAAUAUGUGAAAUUAAACUCUGGCGCAGCUUAUGUUCAUCAGCAAUCUGCUUUUAUUUAGUGAUUUCUAUAGCUAGUUUCAUAAUGCAGUUAUAUUUUGAAAUAAAGAGAGCGUGAUUGUUCAAGAAACUUGCAAAAAUAAAGGAAGAACAUGGUCUUCUAGCAGUACUGAUUUGAUGCAAGAAAUGGGGGUAACUAGAAGUUAACUUCUAUUCUCACUGAUCUUGUAAUUGGUAUUUCCUUGUCCUACAUUCCUAUGACAGUUUGAAAUGCAGGUAGGAACUUUUGGAGCAAAGGCAAAGACGGAGAAAAUUGCCUUUAUUUUUUAACAAGUGCGGGUUUUUUGUAUUGCUUUUAGCCAUUCAUGCAUUAUUACUAUGAUUGGUUUUUCUGAUCGAUGGAUUUUGCAGGUUUGUCUAUGCACGUAUCAUUUCUAGGAAGAUCAACUCCCGUGUGUUUGAUGCAAAUCCUUCCAUAGAAAAGAAAAAGUCUAAAGAAGGUGAAAACAUCGUGGGACGAGCGUUAGCUGAUAUUCCAUCUCUUCUGGAGUUGAAACGGAUAUGCAAUGACUCAUGAUACGGUAAAUUGGUGUUUUGCUUUUCGAAUGUUGUGUCCACUAUCUUUGACUAAUUUGUUUUUGCUGAUCAAGUGCCACCUGGUAUUCAAGUUGUGGUUCACCAUGUACUUGUAUGGCUUUAUAUAUCUGGUACAUACUCUUCUUUCUUUCUAGCUAUAUCGCAAACUAUGACGUUCUAGAUGUACUUGAUGGAUUUAAACUCCCAUCUCAGUUUACCUCACAUUUAUGUGGAUAACAAUGUAGGUAUUACUCACAUAACAAUGAUUACCUUGAGAUAUGUCGAUACCAUAAGGGGAUAUAUGAGAUUCCAUUGGUAAAAGGCAACCCAGAGCAGUAGAUAUGGGUGAAGCUCUUUCCUUGUUAAGUCUUCACUGAGUUUUUUAAGGCAAAGCUGUUCAUACUGUGAUUUAAUUAAAUGCAGGUUCUUAGGAAAAUCUGCUGGUACUUAGUUCUAUCACCACAUGAUCCUAUGCAAUCAAGCCUUCUUAAUGCAACUCUAGAGGAUAAACAUCUCUCAGGAAUUCCCCAAUUCAGGUACCAUCUUUAAAUUGUGCUAGGUAAUUAAUUGUUUUUUUGGGGUAAAGUUAGGUAAUUGAUUGUUUUUUUUUUUUUUGGUAAAGGAGGUUAGGUAAUUGAUUGUUGAUCUUGCAAUAUCUCAAUAAUGUGCCAUAGAAUUUGGUCGACCAUACCUUUGAUAUUUUAACGUAGGUUGCUGCUGAAACAAUUGGUCACGUUGGAGGCUCCAGCGGACUCCUCUUUAAAAGAACUUUCAAAGGUGAAUUUGAGAAUGAGAAAACGUGCUAGCAGGUGCACUUGUUGGGAAUUAGACAAGGCCCAAUCAUAGUCAAAAGAAGAAUUUUGGCUUCUCCUUGGCAAGACAAGCUACCUUUCUAGGAGCCUCUUCAGAGAAUCAUUGAACAUGUAAUUACAGAACUAGUUGUUUUUCUUCUUUUCAUUGGAUCAGCACUCAGAUGUGACUCAGUCGGUUUUCUGCAGAAUAUUAUCAUCAUUUUGAAGUAUUGAUCGAGGAUUACCUUAAAGAGAUUUGCAAACCUGUUAUCCUCAGUAUCUAAGUCUGAUUAUGUGGAACAUUUGUUGAUGUUCGUUAUCAGUGUCACUCUUUAUGAAUGAUUGCCUAGACCCCUCAUUUAACCUUCAGCAGCUUCUCUGCUUGUGAUCCCUAAUUGGGGCAUGGCUGCUGGACUUGGACACAAGUUCCUAAUAUGUAUAAAAGAGGUUUUGGAGCGUUGAAAGCCAAAGAUUUGUCAUGGAUUUGAGAAUGUUGUCUUCAUCGUUUUGUUUUGUAAACAUUCUGACCAACAUAUAUGUGUACUUUUUUUUUUUUUUUUUGGCUUAGUCAGCUUCUGCUCAUAAAUUUGUUGUAGCUGUAAGCGUCAUUGUUUGGCAUUGUGAAGCCGUUUCUUGUCCCACGGAACCUGAAUCUUUAAUGCACUUUAGAAACGUGGGAGGAGCUUUGCUAUAUUGCUAGAAAUGGCUAAGCAGCUUUUUCUGCUGGUAUUGAUACUCACCAUUGCCUGUGUUACAUAAAUAUAUCUUGCUAGAGAUCUUGAUUAAUGUGUACAGAAAAUCUUUGUAGCUGAAUCACUUGGAGAAGAGCUUUGUGUUUGGGUUCUCUUACUCUGUUGUUAAGAGCUUUAAUCAAUCACAUUAAAUCAACACUAUCAUUUGACAGACAGACCAUAUAAUGAUAAUUUAUACACGCUGGUAUGAUAUUCUAUCGUCUUGACCUCUUACUUCUAUAUUACCAUUUUAGGAAGCUGAGAAACAUCUCCUUAGAGGUUGUUUCCAAGUACCUGGUGGCAAUGGCAAAGAUAGACCAGCCAAUGGGAAUUGUCAGUUCCAAAACAGCACAACAGUGAGAUUUUGAACUAGGGUGACAAAUUUAGAAAAGCCGCUUGACCUUGUUAAGAAAAGUCGCCACCAAAUCCCCAAGGAAACCACGGUUCAUAAGGCUGCUUGGAGAGCUUGAAUUGAUUGAAUGAAUGAUCUCUCCCCUCUCAAUGCUUCCUAUAGCCCUUCUCCCCUCUCUCUCACCGAAGAAUGCUGUUUCACAUUGUGGUGGGGACUGGAGAUAUGCAUCAUAGAACUUUCGCGUGGCUGUCUUAAAUUUGAUUGUAUAUUUUGUGGGGGGACCAAAUCCCGGCCUUGUUUCUGACUGAAAUGAUGUACUGGAUACACUUUAUCUAUAGAAAUGGAGUCUGGUCUUUUCAUCUUUCCUCUUUCCUCUAUACCCCCUCCUUUUAAUUGAAGAUUUGCUGGCUUUCAGGGUCCAGAAAAUGUACCGGUGGAACAGGUAUCAGCACAAGAUGUGCACUCAUUUGGAUUGAAAUAAGCGCCUUGUUACAGAAUUGUGUUUCACAUUACAAAUAUUGCUGGUGCUUGUAUUUUUUCUAACAUCGGUGAUAACUCUCUAGAUUAAAGGCUUAAUUAAUGCUACUUUUCGAUUUCAUUUCAUAUUCAAAAUGAGCACCUGUUUUUAAGGGGCUUCAUUUCAAUAAUAUAUCUGCACUUUUUAUCUCCCCAAGAGACGUUAUUUUUCUUCAAGUUGAUACCUCUUAGGGAUGGACCUUUGUUCUCUAAAAUUCCAGCUCCUUCAUUUGCUUUGUGGAAACUGAAAAAUAGGGAAAAGCUACAUCUACAUCUUUUGGCUCUGGAAAUAGUCAUGCUCACUAGUAAAUAGCACUCAUUUGUUAGUGAAAAGCACUGUUCUACUUUCUUCACAAAGUAAAUGUACAAAGACACAUAGGCAAAGGAGAGAGAUCAACACAGCUGGAUUUAUGGCGCUCUCAAUCCCCAAAAUUCGCCAGGUUCUUUCAAGCUCCUAGGGUAUGAGUUCGUAGUUUCAACGUCCUUUCAAAUUCUGAAUGAACUGUUUUUGUGUUGAGUUCAAUCCUAAGAAGAUUCACUUUGUUUCUCCAAUCUCUACGCAAUUUUCUCUUCAGCUCGUUUGUCAUUCCAAUGCUGGGAUUUUUUUAUUACUACAUUGAAGAUUUUAUUCUGGCGAGUGAUGUUCUAUUUUGACUUUCCAGUAUGCAAUUUUUUGUUUGCUGCUGCUUUCUUUUUCCUUUUUUUUUUUUCACUUUGAUGAUCUUGGUCUUCAUGAUAUCAGAACUGCGAAAAGAGCAGAGUUUCAAAAUUUAAGAGGAGCAUAAAUGUGUUUCCAAAAAACACAUGAACUAUAUUACAAGUUUGAGCAAGGUUAUCUGUAUGUAUCGUAUUGCUGGAAUGGUGAGAAGAAGCCUUUUAACGAAUUUAUUCACUUUAUGACGAGUAGCAACAUCUCACCAUCUAUCUAAAGUCCACCGGUAUUUACAAUGACCCUCAUGUGUUAUGCACUUACACAAUAAGCUUAUGGCAAUGCGCAUGAACAAGACUAGCAGUGUGACACCGAGAGAUGAAGCAUCAUUUCCAAGUGGUGGCGGAGAUGUGGUGUUGCCAGUGGUUGUGUCUAGUAGUGACAGAGAUCCCGCUGGACUAGAGGUUGGGCCAGUGGAAGUUUCACUGAUGGUGACCACCAAUUUUUGGCCACGAGAGCAAUGGUCGCCAUUAGGAAAGUGUAGAUACGAGCAAUACUCGCCAGCUGCAGCGACGGAAAAGGCCGUCGGUCUGUUUUUUAGGGUGGUGAACGGAGAAGCGGUGUAGCGGUGUUGCAGUUGUUGUUGUCAUCCUUUGACACGUACGCGACAUUGCAGUUGUCGUUGUUGGAACCUGUAAUGAACACUGCAAAAAUGAUGGAAGAUCAUCCGGCUUUGAAGAGUGACACUCAAGAUUGAUUGCAGUUACAAGUAAUCGAGAAUGGACUGGUCAGAGCAAAGUCAUUAAAAAUUACGAUAAGCGAGUAUAUGAUUCCUACUCGAAGAGCACCAAAACGAGAAGGGCGUGUUGGUUCACCCAGUCAAAGGACAUGGUGGUGUUGGAAUGGAUCCUUCUUCGCGCAGAACCUCUGAUUAUUAGUUCUUAGCCAUUUUGGCCGGGCUUCUGCCAUAAUCUCAGGUCGGCCCCUUAGAUCUCCAUUCUUUGUCGAGGGGGUGAUUUUUUAGCGCAAACGAAGGUGGGAAGUAGAUGAUGCGAAUGAUACACAUGGACUGUAUAGUGAGUUACUAGCUUAGUUGCUUCAUCUGAGUAAUAAUACUUUCUUGAGUGGUUGAUGACUGAGAUUGCGAUCGAAAACGAAGAAAGCCUGUACUUAUUGUUUAUUCCCUUUUAAAAUGAUGCAUUCACAACUGUCUUUUGAUGGGAGUGAAAUUACUCAGGCUCUAGGAUGUUGCCGAAACAGAUAGCGGGAUGGGGUGGCAAUGAACGCGAUGCCAUAAUACUCAAACCAAUUAUAAUUGGAUUAAGAAGGACGAUUUGAUCAUGGGCUGCAAUCUCUUAAAUUCUUUAGUCUCUAUUCUAUCCAAUUUCUUGAUCAUUCCAGCCACCGACCAGAAUAUUUUGACUAAUUAAUAUCUAUAAAAGUUCUGCGUUAAAACUAGAUUAGAACAUAUCGCGACUCAGAUCACUUGUAUAAAAUGUCAUAUUGCUUAAUCUGAAUUUCCACUCUGGGCAGUAAAAUUGAUUGCUUUAUGAUCUUGCUGGACCAAUAUCGCAGCUAAGAUGACAUCAGUGUGUUAGCUCAACAUCUCUACAUGAACAGAAGAUCCAUUAGAAACAACUCUCAUGACGAGAAAAGAUCAACGCUGCAUCACAUGGAUCUCAUAUCUAUACUUCGCAAAUUCCAUGAAUAACUCGCAUGAUGUGAAAAAGGGGAUCGGGCGCAUUGCGAGUCUUUCCAAAAAAAUACAGAGAAGAAUUGGGACUCAAAAGGCAUUUUCAGUUGAUGUCGUUUAGGAAUCAAUUGAGCUUUGUUUGUACCAAGCGUCUAACCCUCAAAGCUAGAGAACAACAUUAUAGUGUGUGAUGUCAGCAUCUAUAUAUAAACAUUUGCCCCGAAACGCAAAAUGCAUUUGCGAUAGAGAAAACCAAUAGAAACAGUUCUCAUGAAGAGGGAAGAUCGUUGUUGCGUCACACUAAUCCUAUGUAUGCUCUUCACAAAUUCCACUGAUAAUCCCGCACAAUUAGCCAUGAGAAAAUGCAAUUUUGGAAGCCGAAGAUGACGAGAACAAAAGUUUUUUAUCAAGGCAAAGUGUCAAAUAUAGCAUAACCGUCGUUGUGGGAAUAUUUUCUCGAGCCAAAGAUCAGAAAAGUUGUUGAUCAAGUAGCAUCCCGUGUACUCCCAAACCUGCCCUUUUGAAUUGACGAAACAAUGCAUCAUGACAAGCGAAUCUUUUGAGAAACUGUAAAAAGAGGCCAAACCACACAAUGCAAUUCUAUGAUUUGAACAAUGAAAAAGAACAACGAGAAUUUCUCAGAAAUUUUCAAAUUCAGACUUCAUCAAUAUGGAAUAAGAUGUUGUUCAAAAGGAACUAUGUUUUGAGGAGGGAAUAUAGUAAUAGCAUCCGUCAACCGACCAAUAUCAAUUGAGAAACUGAAUGUUGUGUUUACAUACAAGAUUGUAUUGCUAGUAGUUGGCCGACCGUUGUCAAGAAUGGUUACUUAAAAGGCUUCUUCUUACUCUUUUGGCAUGAAAUUUCUUUUUCUUAUUUGAAUAAAGGACACAAAUAGUAGUCUCGUACAAUAUUAAGAGGAAAAUAUAUCAAUCGGCUCAACAUUCACUAAUAUAUUCAAUUCAAGCGAUUUAAAUUUCUAAUCCUAUUUCAUUUCCGAUUUUAUAUUGAACAAGUGAGCUUUCGUUUCUCACCUUUACUCUAAAUUUCCAACCACCCUUUUGAUUUCCGUUCACAUGCAAAGUCAAAUCAAGUGUGAAAUCUGAAUGGUGUAGAUGGCUGCAACCCACCGGUCGCCUUGGAGGAAAAGAAAAGAAAGGAGAUCUCAUCUUCAUUGCAAAGCAGGCCAGCCCAGCCCAAGUAAUUCUCAGGCUCCAUGGGCCGUCUGGCGAAGAUUUGGGCCAGAAUCUCUAUCGGUUGUUGGAUCUUUUCCAAGGACAGGGACGGGCCAAUCCGAUUCGGAUUGGAUUCGCUUAUGUUUCGGAUCCCCCGAUUUCUCCUCCAUUUUCAUCCAUUUUCACUUUUAUUCCCCUGUGCUCUUUUAUUUAUUUAUAUUAUUUAUUUUUUGCUCUUUUAUUUAUUUAUUAAUUUAAUUUGCUCUCGCAUCAGUGUGUUCAAAGAGGAGGAGGAGGAGAGAGGAGAGGGAGAAACAGACGAGUGGAAGUUUUCGCGAGUGAGGGGUUCACCGGGGCGCUCUUUCUCUCUCCUCUUUCUUCCCCUUUCUCCUAGGUCUCCGAAUCGAUUGUCGUCGGAGACUCUCGCCGAUUGAGAUGGUGAGUUCGCGUCCCCGCUUUCAGAUCUGCAGCGAGUCCUAGGUGGGUGGCAUUGGGGCAACUCAAUAAGGGGGUUCUUAGCGUGUUUUCACCUCAACUUGGUGGUUUAGUACCGUGAGUACUGAAUGUGCGUGACAUUGUUGAGUUAGUGGAUGCGCUAUAUUGUAAAUGAUUUUCUUUCAAGGUCUGACACUUUUUUUUUUGCAUUAUCUAUUGAAUCCAACUUCUCACGGGUAACGAAAUAUUCAAGUUGGCGAGAUUUGGAAGAAUUGAUUAAAAAGAUGUGCUUUUGGGUCCCUUUUGUGGAAGCUUGGAGUUUAUCUCUGUGGAAGAAUUGAUAAAAAGAUGUCUUUUCGAAGUAUUACUCAAGGAUUACCUUGAAGAGACAUGCAGAGCUGUUAUACCUCAGCAUAUGGGUUGAUUAUGUUGAACAUUUGUUUAUAUUCUUCAUCAGUGUCGAUCUUUAUGAAUGAUUGCCUAGAGCCUUCAUUUAACCUUGAGCAGCCUCUCUGCUUGUGAUCCUUGUGGGGCGCGGUUGCUAGACUUGGAUACAAGUCCCAAAAAUGGAAAAGAAGUUUUGGUGCCUUGAUAGUUAAAGGCUUGUCAUGAGGUUGAGACUGUUGUCUUCAUAGUUUCGUUUUGUAAACAUUUCUGACCAAUAUAUAUGUCUAGACUUCACUUUGUCAACUUCUGCUCAUGAAAUUUGUAGCUGUAAGUGUCAUUGUCUGGCGUUUUGAAACCAUUUAUUGUCCCAUGGAGCCUAAAAUUCCAAUGCCCUUUAGAAGGGUGGGAGGAGUUUUGCUAUCACUCACCAUUUCUCGUGUUAACAAAGUAUAUCUUGCGAUUAGAGCUUUCUUAUCGUGUUCUGAAAAUCUAUGUAGCUGGAUCACUAAAGGAAAAGAGCUCUGUUUUUGAGUUCUGUUACCACUAUCAUUGAGAGCUUUGAUUGUUCUAUAUUACCAUUUUAGGAAUCUUAAAAGGAUCUCUCCAAAAUUGUUGUUUCCAAGUCCCUAGUGGCACAGGUAGACCGGCCGAUGGGAGUUGUCUAUUUCCAGAUGACAAAGGACAGCAAUAUCAUCUUGAAUUUGUGGGCGACAAAUUUAGAAAAGCUCCUCAAUCUUGUCAAGAAAAGCUGCCACCAAAUCCACAAGGAAACUUUGGUUCAUAAGGUUGCUUUGAGAGCUUGAUAAUGUUCUUAGUUGAAUGAAUGAUCCUCUCUCCCCUUGAGCGUCCCUCGAUCUCUCACCAAAAGAGAAGCGGAAUAAUGCUGUUCAUGUAAUCAAUGAUUUGAAAAUUACAUCAAAUAUUAUAAGAUACAUUUAAAAGUCAUUUGUGCAGUCAAUAAAUGUUUUGGUCAUUAUUGGAAGAUCUCUUUUUGUCAUGUACUUACAAAACUAAUUAAAAUUUUUAAAAAGAAAAAAAAAUAGCUGCUAUGAAGCAUUGAAAACAUUUUUGUUUGGCAAAAGGAGAUAUUCAAAAUUUUCAAAACAUUUUGUUUGACCAGAUUUAACGUAAGAAAAUGUUUAUUAUAUUCAUUACGACAAGGACCAACUAAUGAUAAAAUCAAAUUUUUCAUUGAUCAAAAAGAGCAAUUGUCGAAACCGAUCAAUUCUAGUAAAAAAAUCUAUUAAACUCUUUUUAAAAUGAACUAGCCAAUCAUAUACUUGAUGAAGAAGACCUCGUCGAUUAUAGUUGACAAUAUACAGCAAAUUGGAGUAUUACCAAUUUGAAAACGCUAAUUGGUCUUCCUCUCUUUGCUGUUUUCUUAACACAACCUUGAAUUCCAUCUUCUUUUUUAUUUGUACAAGUCUUUCGUUUUCAAUUUUUUUUCCUUUUUUUAUUUGCCAUCCUACCUGUAAUCAUUUUAAACGUGGGCAUUUCGACAACGGCAACGUGGUAAGCUUUAAAGAAGAAGAGAUCAAUUUUGAAAAAAUAAUAAUAAUAAUAAUUGAAAAAUUAUCAUUCUUGUUUCUCUCUCGACUUUAAGCCAAUCGUUCCUCUUGCAUGGACUGGAGUGUUGUCAUCAACUCAUACCCCCAUCACCAUCUUCUUCAGCUCGACGUUUCUGAAUGUGGAGUGAUUUCCUCGUUCGUGGAUUUAAAAAUGUUGCAGCUGAGACGGUAAGUGCCGGCUAGAGGAAAAGCGCUCGUCCCUACCGAUCGAAGCAUCGCAAUACCAAAGGAAACAUAAUGCUCGGAUAUGUGAUGUGCGACUUCUUUACCUCGAAACAUUCUCUGUACCUUGUUUUGGAUAAUCGACGAGGGCUGAAUCGAAUCGCUUGUACAUUCGUUAUUCCAGCGCCUAGAUCGGGUUUGGCAUGGAAGUAUUCGAUCGGGGUCGGGUGCGGGUGGACCACAGAGGAUGUCGACUCUGAAGUGAAGGUGGGUGAAAGGAUCGCGUAGGUGAUCACUGAGAAGAUCAUGACUCCCGAUGUUGCAGCGGAGGUCGAGGACCUGGACUUGACUCUGAGACGUGAGGGCGGGUUUGGGUCGACCAUGUGUAAGGCCCAUGCGCUAGGUUUCGGUUGCUACUUUGUUCUCUGUAAGUUUGUUUUCAAUGGGGAUGAGGUUGUGCCUGUGAUGCACGCAGGUCUGGUAGGAGCAUUUUCUUGGUGAGAAAUUUUGUCGAACAAUUGGUGGGUAAAUAUUUGCUAAUUGCUAUGUGUUCAGCCACGCUUUUGAAGUAUUUCCUUGUGCUCUGCCUGUCUCCGUUUAACUGUGAAAUUCGGAUCCUGCUUUUUGAGUUGCCAGUCUGCUGGGGUGAGCUUUGCGGCAAGUAAUUAGUUAGUUGAUUGCUGGCUUACGUGCUAGUCCUAGAUGAUGGUAUUGAGCAACUAAAUAAGGGGAUUUUCAUUGUUUUUACAUAAACUUCUUCGUUUAGUGCCAUAAUUAUUGAAUUUGUGUGACAUUGUUGAUUUAGCAGAUGCACUAUCUUGCAAAUGAUUUUUUUUUCCAGGGUUUGACACCAUUACCUAUUCACUGUUAACUUUCCAUGGAUAAUAAUUUAUUCAAGUUGGUGAGAUUUGGAAGAGUUGCUUAAAAGAUGUGCCUCUGGAACUCUUUAAUGAAUGAAGGUUGGGGUUUAUAUUCCUGUGGAAAUUUAAUGGUGCUCAUGUGCAAACAAAGAGUGGGUAAUAAGCACAAAGUUAACCUUGAGAUAUCCUCUCUGGCAAGGUGCUUGUAUUUACUUAUGGAAGUGAAAUUAAUUAACAUCAGUGAGUAUUCAGCACCCAAGUAGUGCAAAGUGAGUUUCCAACAAUUAGCGUUGUUGAAAGAUUACUGGAUAACUUAAAGGAAGCAUUUAACCACCAUUAAUUAUCAAUAAGUAUCUCCCUGAUCCAUGAAGUCAAUGUAAGAUCACAUGAUGUUGCAUCCUAUCAAACACUAAUUGGAAGUUCUCAUUAACGAAGAACGGAAAUAACUCUUGCAGCUGAGUAGGAAAAUAAUGCACAAAGCUAUGUGGAUAAGCUGGACAUUGUGGUACUAUCUAGUAGGCAAGGCUGGUAAUAGCAAAAUACGUUGAUGUACUUUUACAAGAUGGACCCUGCCUUUGGAGUUGAAGUAAACAUGUGUGUGAGAAUUGACAAAUAGAGAUCCUUAGUCUAUGAUGACAGAGAAAAAGCAUAUUGUUUAAGUUAAGCAAUUUUAUUUUGUUUUAUCAUCUUUUCAGGGUUUAGUGAAGUCGGUAAUCGGUGCUCCACUUUGUUUUUAUGCUGGUUAGUAGAUUUGUUUUAAGAUUUGAGUUCUCUUGUAUAGGGAUAGAUUCUUUUUGUUUUAGAUGGAUAGUUAUUUCCUUGGUGCCUUACUUAUUAUACCUUUUACACGACAAUGAAACAGGGGAGAAAAGAAGUUGAGAUUGGGUGCCAGAGGAGUGAGUUAAAAUACUAAUCAACUGAAGAUGAAUGAUAAGUAUGAGUUGUACCUCUCCAUUCCAAUAAGAGUUUCUUGUGGAUUUUCUCCCUUGCAUGAACACAGCAUGUAUCAGGUUUGCUGGUGGCGAAAGGAAUAUUAAACAAGCAGGAGCCAAGAUUAUUGUGUUCAGUGGUCUACUGAUUCUUAGGGCAUGAAUUUUCGUCUUCCUAGCUCAAAGCACUCUUUGCCUUCCUCGUCAAGUGCUUGAGUCAAAAUUAUUUGAUGACACUGAUACUUGGAUAUUCAUAGCUGUUGUUUUUCCUGUAUAUAGUUACUCCCAAACUUUCUUGUAGCAAAGGAAGUAUCUUACACUCCUUUGAUAUGAGCGAAUUAGAUUGUCGAGAUUAACCGAUGUCCAGAUAUUUGCCUUUUUAUCUCCGCUUUUGGGUGACAAGCUGGUGGAAAUUUUGCUCUUCAUUAAGUGUAUUUCAUUGUUAUUUUAUGCUGAAUGCUGAUAAGUUCCUCUGGAUUAGUCAGAGCAUUAUGACUGGUUGCUAUUUAUUAGACCUGUACCAGAUUUUUACCUUCAUGAUUGUUAUUAGGAUUGCUAACUGUAUAGGAGGCAAUUAAAAAGAUGCAAGUUGGUCGCAUUGACAAUCAUUCCCAAAUUGGAUUAGGAGUAAGAUCAUUGGAGAUGUAGGAUGGGAUUCCUAAUCCCAGUCCACCUACUUUGCCUAUUUAAUUAGGACUCAACCUCAUAGUACAUCAAAAUAGGCCCCAUUUCUUGUCAUGCAUGACCAGUUGUACGUCUGAAACAAUAUCUAAAGGCUGAACCUGCUUAUUGGGGCUAACUUUGGGGAUUGAACUAUGAGGGGAUUAUAGAUAAAAUUUAGGUGUUGCCCUCAUCCUGAAUUAGAUUGGAUGGAAGAUUUAAUAGGUGGUUGUGGCAAGGCUGAAAAUACUUUUCAUGCAGACUUGGGAGAGUCCAUAUGCUUCCACCUGUAUUAAAAUUAACCUUUUAUUGCUGGAGUUGGAUGUGAGCUCUACUUUCAUGAGAGCUUUAGUUGGGGCAUAUGGGAGGUCCGCUGUGCCUCCACAACCAGCAGUGCAGCACAAUGCCAUCACCUUUGUGCUGCA